rnacentral:misc_RNA from 1 species
GAUGAAGAACGUAGCGAAAUGCGAUAAGUAAUGCGAAUUGCAGAAUUCAGUGAGUCAUCGAAUCUUUGAACGCACAUUGCGCCCUCUGGUAUUCCGGGGGGCAUGCCUGUUCGAGCGUCAUUAUAACCACUCAAGCUCUCGCUUGGUAUUGGGGUUCGCGGUUUCGCGGCCCCUAAAAUCAGUGGCGGUGCCUGUCGGCUCUACGCGUAGUAAUACUUCUCGCGAUUGAGUUCGAUAGGUCUACUUGCCAGUAACCCCCAAUUUUUACAGGUUGACCUCGGAUCAGGUAGGGAUACCCGCUGAACUUAAGCAUAUCAAUAAGCGGAGGA